rnacentral:misc_RNA from 1 species
UUUCGGCUUAUGGUUGCUGGCGUUGCAUUGAGCUCGCUUGGUGGCUGUAUAGUUGGGUGGCUUCGGGGAUGUCUACCGUAAAGGUGCAUGAGUGGUGUUUGGUUUGUUACGGGUGGUUGGCUCUUUGCUUGCGCAACAACUUCCACCUGGCAUACCUCUUCAGAUCUGUGUCGAUGCUUGUAUCGCAUUGAACGCAUUGUUGGUUUCCUGUGUUGCAUGCCUAAAUGAUGGUAUCGUUUGAUGAAUUGAUGUCCGAUUUCGUCUUGCGUUGCACAUGCGAUGCGAGAUGAACCUUGAAGCAAACUCUGUGAUCCAUUCCUUCGAUGCAUACACAUCGAUUACGUGGCUCACUGAGCGUUGCUUGGUCUCAUCGAUAUGGAACCUGGUGUGGGCAUGGGAUCUAUUAUUAGAUCCGUGUUUGCCCUCGUUAAGCUUUUCAAAUACGAUUCCCUGUCAUGUUUAAACGUGAUAGGUUAUAUCGAAUAUGAAUG